AACUCUAAUACCCAAAUCACAGUUUCCUCUCAUCUCUUCACCUUCAUCACGACUGAAUCCUCCAUAACCCUAAUAUCCCUAUAAAGACUGCAAAUGAAUCGUCCCACCUUCAAUUUGUCCUCUCAAAUCCCCCUUACGUUCUCACUCCACCCUCUGCCGGCGACAGUGAUUCCAGGGGCUGUGGUAUUGGUGGUCGUCAAAGGCCAACGGCUAGGGUUUGCCAUGAAACCGGAGGGACCCCAGUAAUCCAUGUUUCCUCUCUCGAUUUCUAUUUAUGUAUAUGUUGAAUUGUUGAUUAUUACGUGAUGUUACUUGUCGAUUAUGAUUGAGUACCUUGCGGUUUUAGUUCAUCACUGAUAUUCCAGUUUGUGAUCUUUUGAUUUCCCAGUGUCGGUUUUUCAGUUACAAUUUUAUUGGUUGUUGAUUGCUUUAUGUUUUUGGGUUUUUGCUAAUUCAGAUAGGGCUCUUUUGGAUGGGAAUAUGAAGAAUUUGAUCAAUUGAUGUUAAAGGCUCUGGGUUGUGUGGUGGCAACCGACGCCCUAGCGGCCACAACCGGUCGUGGCUACGGAGAAUCUAGAUGCGAAGGUUGAAAAUGACGUCUCAUAGUGGUGUUCAACAAACAAACUACCAGAGAUAUGUGAUAAAAACCAUUAAGGUUUUUAUAUAUGUGAUCUGAGCGGUCAUGUUGGGUCGAUUCUGGUAAGGGGUUAUGAAUUCCGAAACUGGAAGAACUGGUGUGGAAAAUAUGGUUGGGAGCCGUUCCUAGGGACUUCUAAAACCCUGUGCCAGUUUUCCUUUCGCAGCAUUUGAUCAGGAACAACGAAUUGGAGAACUAAUAACAUCAUCUUUUUACAUUCCCAAUCGCGUAUGCAUACCAGGUCAAAUGAAUGGAAUAUGGGUGUUUUGUUUGAAGGGAUCUCAACAGGCUAUCAUUGGAAGGGGUAUUGGUACCUGAGAUAUGGAACCUCACACAUCUGAGAUGCUUGUGAAUGUCACUGGACCUAAAUAUAUCAUAUACCAUGAUUUAAACAAGAACAAGACAGAGUGUUGUUAAGGACUUGAGGUAUUAAAUUCAGCGCUAUUAUGUCUCUGUUUCACGUUUUGAGGACAGUCGUUGGUCUUUAACAUCAAAAGGAUGACUCGGGGCAGUUUAUGCGGAAGCUCUAUGAUUUGAGGAAAAAGAGAAUAAACGGCAUGUACCAGUUCCAUCAAAAAGAGUGCUGUAAUGCCAAUUUGCAGUCCACAAAAAAGAACUUACUAGCCUUGCAAUGUCUUGUGGGUUCAUUCCAAGUUCCUGAAUGUUCUUUAAAUCAUUGACUUGUGGGUACACCUGUAAAAACGGGUGGGUCGGGUCAAAACGAGUUUGGGUCAAAAUGGGUCGGUUAAAAAAAGGGUUAUUUUGGUUUGGGUCAUAAGGGGUUUAGGUUGGAACGGGUUCAGGUCAUAAAAGGCCCGGGUCAGGAUAGGUUUCGGGUAGAUCAGGGCGGGUUGGUUUAAAGUCUUUUUUUUAAAGAAUAUUUGUAACAGCAGUAUAUCCAUUUUCACUUCAUAUUGAUCAUGUUUAUCAAACAGUUGGUGUUAAAAAAAUAAUUGAAACCCAAUGUUUUUUUUUUUUUGAAUUUGCACUGUUACAGCUUGACCAGAAGCAGAUCAAAGACUAAAUUAACACAAAAAGAAAAGAAGAGAAACACUGUGUUCAAAGGGGUCGAGGUCGGCUCGAAAAAAGUGAUCUGUUUUUAACUUCAUGUUUCCAGUUACUCACUCCUCAAUCCAACCCAUAUUCACAUAUCAACAUUCAAUUUUCAUCCAAAAUUUAUGAAUUCUAUUCCAUAAUUCCUCCUGGACUUUCACCAAACAUCCGGUGGGCAUUCCAUUGGUACACUCCACAAUCGCCACUGAAUCCUCCAUCCUCAACUGCCAAGAGAGUUUCAUGCUAAACCUCAAAUCAAACUCAAUAUUAAGAUCUUGCAAGGGACCUUGGAAAACCGGGUAAAUGAAACAAAACACCUGUAGGCAAGCAUCAGGCAUAAAGAGACUUGUACAUGGUGUAUAGUAAAGUUGUAAAUCAAGCACAAUAACAGUUUGUGAGAGUGCGUUUUAUGCAUAAUCACAUCGUUGUAUUGCAAGCUUGUUCAAAUUCUUUUAUCUUCCUUUGAUGCCAACGUUGAGGUACACAAUAGAAAAUGUACAAAACUUACAUAAAUUCAUGUAUUG